rnacentral:lncRNA from 1 species
CCACCCGCGCCUGGCUCCCGUCCUGGGGCCACCGCUGCAUUUCCGUCCUGAACUGAUGGAGCCAGUCCUGGUCCACAGCCCGGGAGGGGGAACAUCCUGGAGGCCUGUGGCUGCCGCGUCUGGGGCGCGGGAGCGCCAGCGACAGAGCUGGUGACCCGGCGAACUGGUUACCGGCCAGAUCUGAUCCAUUUCACGCGGAUGCGGAAUCGGUUUCCGGUUUAAUGUGAAAGAGCCGUGUGGGCGGAUUGUUGAGAUCUGUGGUGCUGGUUGCUGCAAAUGCAAAAUCCUGGUUUGUGAGCCCCGACCUCCGAAGAAGAAAGGAGCUAUCUGAACCCAAAUGCUUCAUUAAGUGCUUUCCAGCUUUCCACCAGUUCAAAGGCACACUCACUUGCAGUUGGUGAGACGGACCCGCUCAGGUGGAGAGCCACUCAGAGGUGCGUUCAGGACCAGCCCAAGCGUCAACGCAUUCCGCAAGAGGGCGGUCCGGACUGCGGGUGCCACGUCAUCUCUGGCUUGGGUCACAGACCCAAAACAAGCCCACGUUGCCGUGGCCCCGUGCUCCUGAGGUACUUCUGGGGGGGACGCCGGCUUGGACAACGUUGUUUUGAUGACUUCGAUGAAGGUGGUGGAACUAAUUCCCACUCGAAUGGGUGGUUGUUUAUUUCUGCUUCGCGUGAAUCAGAGGUAAUUGUUUUGAAUAGCCUUUCAUGGCGGCUCUGUGUACCGGGGCCAUCUGGUGCCGAUGUCCCCGCUUCUCCACUUGUGGCUUUUAAGACACGCUUCCCUCUCCCACCGUGAGGCUGCUCUUCUGAUUCAGCCAUCGGUGGUUCACGGAGCUCACGUCCAAAGACCCCAUUCAGAGGCGAGCUGACGCGGACAGCUUUGGCCUCCAAAUUAGGAAAUAGUGAUUCCCGCCGUCAGCCAAGCGUUUGGGGAAGGAAGACGACAACAGCAAGGGCAACACUUGCUUGACAAACGCACAAGUGACCAUGUGACACAGGAGCUGAAUCGGUCAGGAGGAGGUCGAGGAGGCCGGGGGCUGGCACAGGUCGUGUUUGAAGGUCAAUCUUCAAGGGAUGGUAACGUGUAUAAAAUUCUUCCUAGUUUUCCCGAUUGCAUCAAUAUUUUGUUUCUGAAGGGAAUAAAGAUACCGAGUCUCAAAACA